UUAGUGUACCUCGCGUCACGGAGUGUACGACUCGGCGGCGGUGUCGACAACAUGCGAGUACGACGGGGACGGCGCGAGCGUCAGGGCUUUUCGGAGCGGAAGCCGGCGCUGCCCAGUGGCGGACGGGUGAGUAACGCGUGGGCAACCUGCCCUGCACUGGGGGACAACAGCCGGAAACGGCUGCUAAUACCGCAUAUGCCCGCAGCCCCGCAUGGGGCGGCGGGGGAAGCUCCGGCGGUGCAGGAUGGGCCCGCGUCUGAUUAGCUGGUUGGCGGGGCAACGGCCCACCAAGGCGACGAUCAGUAGCCGGCCUGAGAGGGUGGGCGGCCACAUUGGGACUGAGACACGGCCCAGACUCCUACGGGAGGCAGCAGUGGGGAUAUUGCACAAUGGGGGGAACCCUGAUGCAGCGACGCCGCGUGGGCGAUGGAGUGCUUCGGCAUGUAAAGCCCUAUCAGCAGGGAAGAAAAUGACGGUACCUGACUAAGAAGCCCCGGCUAAAUACGUG
rnacentral:rRNA from 1 species